GGCAGGAGUGAUUUGAUCAGGCAUAGGUUCUUUCACUAGUCUCUUGUGGGUGUAGGCUCUGUCCUCAGGCUGGGCUUUCUCCUAAUAGCAAAAUGGUGAUAUCAGUUCUAGGCCUCACACCUAGAAAAAGAAUUUCUCUCCUCCCGAGCAUGGAAUAAUACUCCUGGGCUUCAGUCUGGACCAAUUUCAGUCACACACUCACCCUAAAAGAACCACUGUGACUAAUGAAACACCAUCACGCAAGAAUGAUAGGACCACGCAUGCGCCAGCUGAGGUCCACCCGAGGAACCGGAAGGGAAGCAUGGUGGUUUCUGUCAAUUGCACUCCGGGGAAGCUGUCAGCUAUGUAACGGAGAGAGUCGGGAUGGAUCCCAGAGCAGCAGCCGAGGUCAACAUGGUGACAGACAGCCAUACUCCUCAAAGGGCUUUUGCUCGAGGCUAUUGAGAGCAUUAUCCCAUUUAAUCCACACACCUGUCCCAUCAGGUAAGGUUUUGUUGUUGUUGUUGUUGGUUUGUUUUGUUUUUAAAUUGUUUAUUGGUACAUUUUGGGUAUACAGUAAAGUUAUGUUCAUCAUUGGGAUCCUGUACCUUCACAUGACAGGUCUUCGUUCUCAUUUUUUCCCCUUGUCCCUGUCCUCUCUUCACCCCCUCCUCUCCUCCCCAUUUGCAAACACUUUAUUUCCAUUUUUUCAUUUUCUCAUAUUUUUUCCUUUUCCCUUAUUCGCUUUCCCCUACCCUUCCCACUUUCCCUACACCUUUAGCCCUUUUCUUCCUAUUUCACAUUGUCAAUUAUCUCAUUAGGAUCUUAUUGUUAUUUUUGUUUUUUGAGACAGAGUUUCACUAUGUAGUUGAGACUGACCUGGAACUCACUAUGUCACUCAGGCUGGUCUUGAACUCACAGUGAUCCUCCUGCCUCAGCCUCCUGAGUGCUGGGAUUACAGGCAUGUGCCACCACGCCCAGCCACCAG
rnacentral:lncRNA from 1 species